rnacentral:misc_RNA from 1 species
AAUAAUCAAUAUCUAACUCACAGAUUGAUAGACUUGACUGCAGCUGGUCUAGCUGAAAGAAGAAGACGGCCGACACCGAUCACCUAGAACGCGUCAAAAAUGUCUGAGAACACUGGAAACGAAUGUAAAAAUUGCCAACUUCUAGAUUAGCGCGCCUGACGUCUACAUCGGGCCGAAAACUCAAUCUUGAGUGCCUUAAAAGUUUCGACACGCUGAAUUCAUUGGUAGUGUCAAAUCAUUGAUCCGAUGAUGGGAUCAUCCAAAAUUUCAUUGGAAAGCUACUGCCCCCUUAUCUCUCUCUUUAUUCACUUUCCGUCCAAAACCCCUAUUAACUUUGGUGAUAUGGAAUGGAGGAGAAGGCUCAAGUUCCCUGAGUUCCAUUGACAUUAAUCACACAGUGACUAGAGGUCUGAAAUGCCGACAAGGAGCUAGGAGUGCUUGCGGUGGCGUCACCUUCUUCUUUCCACGCUAACUGGCCUUUCACCAUGAUUCAGGCCGUUUAUGGUGAGCUAUUGCCGAUGAGGGACAACUGGAUGUUUGCCAGAGCAAGGCUUUACUUGUUGGGUCAUCAUUAGUGGAGGUGAUUGUGGCCGAAGAGAUGGACAGCGUGACUUGGUCCUUCCUUGGCGUUACUGAGUGUGGGAAAAUAAAGAAGAAGCUUCCUGAUUGGCUCUUAUAUGAUAUUAUAUAUAAAUAAUAUUUUUAUUACAUUAUUUAACUAUUUCACUAAAAGAUCCAACCUACUCUUUUG